rnacentral:rRNA from 1 species
AUUGAACGCUGGCGGCAGGCCUAACACAUGCAAGUCGAGCGUGCGGAGGGCGGGGGAGUACUGUAUGGGGACUGCCCGAUAGCGGGGGAUAACAGCUGGAAAAGGUAGCUAAUACCGCAUACUAUGGGCUAACCCAUAGUGGGUUAGCGAGUAGGUGAGGGAAUGGCUACCCUAGGCGACGAUCCCUAGCUGGUCUGAGAGGAUGAUCAGCCACACUGGGACGGAGACACGGUCCAGACUCCUACGGAGGCAGCAGUGGGGAAUAGUGGGCAAUGGGCGCAAGCCUGAGGCAGCCAUGCCGCGUGUAUGAAGAAGGCCCUCGGGUUGUAAAGUACUUUCAGUCGGGAGGCGUUACCGACAGAAGAAGCACCGGCUAACUCCGUGCCAGCAGCCGCGGUAAUUC